GGGCUUGGUAGCGCACUGCGUUCGGGACGCAGAGGUCGCAAGUUCAAAUCUUGUAAGUCCG
rnacentral:tRNA from 1 species